CCUACGGGGGGCAGCAGGGAGGAAUAUUGGGCAAUGGGCGCGAGCCUGAACCAGCCAAGUAGCGUGAAGGAUGACUGCCCUACGGGUUGUAACCUUCUUUUAUAAAGGAAUAAAGUGAGGCACGUGUGCCUUUUUGUAUGUACUUUAUGAAUAAGGAUCGGCUAACUCCGUGCCAGCAGCCGAGGUAAUACGGAGGAUACGGGCGUUAACCGGAUUUAUGGGGUUUAAAGGGAGCGUAGAUGGGUUGUUAAGUCAGUUGUGAAAGUUUGCGGCUCAACCGUAAAAUUGCAAUUGAAACUGGCAGCCUUGAGUACAGUAGAGGUAGGCGGAAUUCGUGGUGUAGCGGUGAAAUGCUUAGAUAGCACGAAGAACUCCGAUUGCGAAGGCAGCCUACUAAACUGCCACUGACAUUGAUGCUCGAAAGUGUGGGUAUCAAACAGGAUUAGAUACCCCUGUAGUC
rnacentral:rRNA from 1 species